rnacentral:rRNA from 1 species
AACGUAGGAGACAAACGUUAUCCGGAGUUACUGGGCGUAAAGGGCGUGUAGGUGGUUUCGUAAGUCUGGCGUGAAAUUUCUCGGCUUAACCGAGGCAGGUCGUCGGAUACUGCGGAACUAGAGGACGGUAGAGGCGUGUGGAAUUCCUGGUGUAGCGGUGAAAUGCGCAGAUAUCAGGAGGAACACCGGUGGCGAAGGCGGGUCUCUGGGCCGUAACUGACGCUGAGGAGCGAAAGCAUGGGGAGCGAACAGG